rnacentral:rRNA from 1 species
AGAUUGAACGCUAGCGGGAUGCUUUACACAUGCAAGUCGAACGGCAGCGCGGACUUCGGUCUGGCGGCGAGUGGCGAACGGGUGAGUAAUAUAUCGGAACGUGCCCAGUAGCGGGGGAUAACUACGCGAAAGCGUGGCUAAUACCGCAUACGCCCUACGGGGGAAAGGGGGGGAUCGCAAGACCUCUCACUAUUGGAGCGGCCGAUAUCAGAUUAGCUAGUUGGUGAGGUAAAGGCUCACCAAGGCGACGAUCUGUAGCUGGUUUGAGAGGACGACCAGCCACACUGGGACUGAGACACGGCCCAGACUCCUACGGGAGGCAGCAGUGGGAUUUGGACAAGUGGGGGAAACCCUG